AUUUCUCCAGCUUCGCGCGCAGCGUCGGGGAGAGGGUGCCGCCGGUGCCGCUGCUCAGGGGGAAGUUGGUGCGCGCCGCCGGCCCGCUCAUCAGCCGCGCCGCCUCGUCGUACGCCCGCGCCGCGUCCUCCGCCGUCUCGGUUCUAUCAAAGUGUAAGAAUUAACUUUCACUUCAUAAAUAAAGAAGUGCAAGAGCUUUACAGGAGUGGGUGGCGGAUCUCGGAGACCCAGGAGCCCCAGUGCCUCUGCCUCACUCCUCUGAACCUCUGCAGCUUCGGCAUGGCGACGGUUGCUCCUGUCUCACACCAGUGCCCGAUCGAUACCUCUGGUGGUGGGCACACUUCCACUUGAUAGCAAGAGAUGCCUCAGGUGCCGGGCGCUUAUAUACUGCUCCCAAGGGGGAGGGCUGCACAUGCUAUCCCGCCGUAGCAUCCAUCUGCUUGCAGCCCUCCCCCCUGUUCGAGAUCCAUGCUGAGGCCGCGAGAUAUGCUCGGCUUAGUGUCGCGGUAGCCAUUUGACAUUGGUCAGAUAUGUCGCACUGGAUGUAGAGGUCGGGAUAUGAAUUAUUCCAUUAUUAUCUGAAAUGAGCCUGCACCGGCACUCUUUGGUGCACGCAUAUUGACUGAAAGCAUCUCUAAUGGUUUUGUC